GUGACAGACAUGCAAUAAACAGCUAUUGAAUCGACAUUAAUCCAAUCCAGAAUUGGGCAAUGAAGCAUGUGUUUGAAAAAGGAAAAGUCUAUUCCUCCCCAAACUGUAAUAGCAAUUUUCAAAACAGCCUGAAAGAAAUAUUUCCAGGAGUUUAUAGAAACCAAAUGACUUCAAGCAAGAAAGUAUGAGUGUUUGCAGUUUUGGAGAAAAGAAAGUUAAUUUCUGCAGAGUCAAAAGUAUGCACUUGAAAAGAGGAAAAAAUGUAUCAUAAAGAGGAUGUUUGGAAGAAAAAUGGGAAGAAUCUGGUAUAAAGAGUGUC
rnacentral:lncRNA from 1 species